rnacentral:rRNA from 1 species
AUUGAACGCUGGCGGCAGGCCUAACACAUGCAAGUCGAGCGGAGCGGCGGACGGGUGCGUAAUGCCUAGGAAUCUGCCUGGUCGUGGGGGAUAACGUCCGGUACCGGGCGCUAUUACCGCAUCCUAUCACCUGAGCCUAGGUGGGAUUAGCUUGUUGGUGGGGUAAAGGCCUACCAAGGCGACGAUCCCUAGCUGGUCUGAGAGGAUGACCAGCCACACUGUGACUGAGACACGGUCCAGACUCCUACGGGAGGCAGCAGUGGGGAAUAUUGCACAAUGGGCGCAAGCCUGAUGCAGCCAUGCCGCGUGUGUGAAGAAGGCCUUCGGGUUGUAAAGCACUUUCAGCGGGGAGGCGUUACCCGCAGAAGAAGCACCGGCUAACUCCGUGCCAGCAGCCGCGGUAAUUC